UUUUGUUGACGUAUGGGUAAUGAAAUACCUUGUUGAUCAAUACUUGCAGAAAUUUCUUUGAAAUGCAUUCUUAGCAAAAACCAACUUUUUAUUGUGUAAAAAAAAUUCAUUGAAGUUUGUGUAAUGGUUCCUAGAAGAUUCCAUUAAAUCAAUUUCUGUAAUGACGAAACAGGCAAAAUGAUGAUGAUGCAGAGUUUUAUGUUGUUUAACCCAGAUCUUUAUAAAAAUAAAUCAUUAAAAUGAAAGAAGAACUGUAUAUGACGUAAUGAGAAACUUCCAUGCACAAUAUGACGUCACAAAUCAAAAUUUGCAUUAUUCAAGCUACAUAAUAGUGGCAUGGUGACGUAUUAUAUGUGAAUUGGCUUAUUUUAAGCGAUGCAUGUUUGUCUGCAACAAGACUGAGAUAGAACAAAUAGAGUACACAGAUAGAAAAUUUAUAGAAAAACAGGAUAGUUCAUUAAAAUUUUUGUUCCAAGAUCAUUCACUAGUCCAAUUCAAUCUAUUAAAUUUUUGCAAGCACAGUCUCAAUUCAUGUUUGAAAUAUGUCGCUCUAAAGAAAGAUAUCAAACGUUCAUGAAGCUAAAAUUGCUAGACGUUUCGUCUCAUCUAGUUUGUUUACUUUUAAAUCACCGGUGUUAACCAGUUUGUUUCUUAUACCGUUUUAAGUACGAUUGAUUGAAGAGUUUCAAGACCUUGCCACCUUGCGAAUUCAAACUUAACACUUAUAUCAACCCCGAGCAUACACCUGCACGCUAAUGGCUCCAAGAUCCUAGACUUUUUUAUCACUAAAGGGAAUACGCAAACAGAGGCUUCGGGCUAGUGGCUGGCGAGAAGCCGUGUAAUGUUCAACAGGAGAUACCUUUACCGUUGAAUAUAUCUUCCAUGUCUGUUUACAAUAAAACUAGAAAGUGGAUAUUUGUUGACAGCGAAAAGACAAAGGAUUUCAAAGAGCUUAUUUCUUUUUGUGGCUGAUUAAUCGAUCUUGUUGGCUAUAUAUUUGAAGCAAAAUCAGACAGUAGCCAUUUGCCGAGGUGGCCUCGCACAGUUGAAUCUCAUAAAAGCGUCUGGUACUAAGCGUGAGUUUAAGGGAUAUCAAGAAUGCAUCCAAAUACGGCGAGGUGUUGCAUUGUUCUUUUACUGCUUAUAUGUAUAGCAAAAGCCAUUCCUGUUGCCAACAACGAAGAGAGAAACGAUUUGCUGAUAAGAGAUGAUGUAAUUGAAGAGCAGCUAAAAAAGGAAGCUUUUCGAAAACCAAAGGAGAACACUAUCCAUCGUGAUGACAGAGACGCCAACUGGGCCUGCGCAAAAUGGUCUGGGGCCCAGUGCGUGAAAUGGGUUAGAGUAGGCUUUUGGUUCGGACACUAGCGAAUGCAAUUCUACUUGGCUGUAUAUAUCAUGGUACGAGGAUAGUUACUUAGGACAUUGUUUUAAGGACAGAAUUAUUGUAUAAAUAUAUUUCAUUAAAAAUAAGGAUGAAGGUUAUAUGAUUCUUAUUGUUGGUGUUUUUUCAACUUCUCUUGAAUACCGUAUACAAAA